UACGUAGGUGGCAAGCGUUGUCCGGAUUUAUUGGGUUUAAAGGGUGCGUAGGCGGCUUGAUAAGUCAGUGGUGAAAGCCGAUCGCUUAACGAUCGAACUGCCAUUGAUACUGCCAGGCUUGAGUAUAGUUGAGGUAGGCGGAAUUGACAGUGUAGCGGUGAAAUGCAUAGAUAUUGUCAAGAACACCAAUUGCGAAGGCAGCUUACUAAAGUAUAACUGACGCCGUGAGGCAACGAAAGUGCGGGGAUCAAACAGG
rnacentral:rRNA from 1 species